CUGAUGGCGGCCGUGCAGCUGGUGGAGUCCGGAGGGGGACAACAGACACCCGGGGGGUCCCUCACCCUCCGCUGCAAGGCCUCCGGCUUCACCUUCAGCAGCUUCGGCAUGGAAUGGGUGCGACAGGCCCCCGGGAAGGGGCUGGAGUUCAUUGCACGUAUUGCCAGCGAUGGUAGUUACCCAAACUACGCGCCAUCGGUCAAGGGGCGCUUCACCAUCUCCAGGGACAACUCCCAGAGCAUGCUCACGCUGCAGAUGAACAGCCUCCGGGACGACGACACGGCCACCUACUACUGCGCGAAAACUACUGGUGGUUGUGGUUAUGAUGGUGGUGGCACCAACCCCUUCUCCAUGGAACAACAUCCCUGUGCUGUGUCCCCAGAUCAACAGCUAUUGACCCAAAUCUGA